rnacentral:piRNA from 1 species
UGGGAAUAAGGUGUUUCAGACAUGGUCUGA